CCAGAGAGAGUAAACAAUUUACAUUCUGCCUCCCUAAACAGAGGGUAAAUAGUUAUGCCAAAGUACUUAGGGGGGACUGAUAAAAGAAAUCUAACAGUUACUGUUUUGUUAUAACUCUGGAGAGUCCAUAAAAAGGACUGACAAGGAAAAUCAGAAGAUCUUAAGGCAGGUCAGUGGCUUUUUCUCCUUAUAUAAUUCCUCCAAAAUUUGGCAAUGUUAAAUAAAUCAUGGCAAUACACUUCUUUGCAUAAAUUCAAUAAGACCGGUUUCCAAUAGUGGUUUUGUUAACUGGAAACUUUGACUAGAGUAUCAUGUUUUAAGGAGCCCUGUUUGAGUUCUGAAAACUUGAAGCCAAUAAGAGUGCCAUGGGAAAAGCCUGGUAUCCUGCUUGGUAGCCCUGAAAAUAGCUGGCGCUGGAGCGUCAGGCCCAUGCCCUACCAACACUGGCGGUUGGUCAGUGUAGAAGUGGAGCAUGGAACUCCCACGCACUCUGGGCCACGACGAGUAGGAGGGCUACUGAGAUGGGCCUUAAAGCAAGGACAAUGGGCAGCAG